AUUGAACGCUGGCGGCAGGCCUAACACAUGCAAGUCGAGCGGAUGAAGGGAGCUUGCUCCUGGAUUCAGCGGCGGACGGGUGAGUAAUGCCUAGGAAUCUGCCUGGUAGUGGGGGAUAACGUCCGGAAACGGGCGCUAAUACCGCAUACGUCCUGAGGGAGAAAGUGGGGGAUCUUCGGACCUCACGCUAUCAGAUGAGCCUAGGUCGGAUUAGCUAGUUGGUGGGGUAAAGGCCUACCAAGGCGACGAUCCGGAACUGGUCUGAGAGGAUGAUCAGUCACACGGGAACUGAGACACGGACCAGACUCCUACGGGAGGCAGCAGUGGGGAAUAUUGGACAAUGGGCGAAAGCAUGAUCCAGUCAUGCCGCGUGUGUGAAGAAGGUCUUCGGAGUGUAAAGAACUCUAAGUUGGGAGGAAGGGCAGUAAGUUAAUACCUUGCGGUUUUGACGUUACCAACAGAAUAAGCACCGGCUAACUUCGUG
rnacentral:rRNA from 1 species